GCCCGAGUGGCGGAAUGGUAGACGCAGGGGAUUCAAAAUCCCCCGCCUUCACGGGCGUGUGGGUUCGACUCCCACCUCGGGCACCA
rnacentral:tRNA from 1 species